UACGUAGGCAGCAAGCGUUGUUCGGAAUUACUGGGCGUAAAGAGUGUGUAGGCGGUGCUCUAAGUCUGUUGUGAAAUCUCCCGGCUUAACUGGGAGGGUGCGGCGGAGACUGGAGUGCUAGAGUGUGGGAGAGGUAAGCGGAAUUCCUGGUGUAGCGGUGAAAUGCGUAGAUAUCAGGAGGAACACCUGUGGUGUAGACAGCUUACUGGACCACGACUGACGCUGAGACACGAAAGCGUGGGUAGCGAACCGG
rnacentral:rRNA from 1 species